AAUCCAUAGGUUAAUGAGGCGAACCGGGGGAACUGAAACAUCUAAGUACCCCGAGGAAAAGAAAUCAACCGAGAUUCCCCCAGUAGCGGCGAGCGAACGGGGAGGAGCCCAGAGCCUGAAUCAGCAUGUGUGUUAGUGGAAGCGUCUGGAAAGGCGCGCGAUACAGGGUGACAGCCCCGUACACAAAAGCGCAUGUGCUGUGAGCUCGAUGAGUAGGGCGGGACACGUGGUAUCCUGUCUGAAUAUGGGGGGACCAUCCUCCAAGGCUAAAUACUCCUGACUGACCGAUAGUGAACCAGUACCGUGAGGGAAAGGCGAAAAGAACCCCGGCGAGGGGAGUGAAAAAGAACCUGAAACCGUGUACGUACAAGCAGUGGGAGCACCCUUUGGGGUGUGACUGCGUACCUUUUGUAUAAUGGGUCAGCGACUUAUAUUCUGUAGCAAGGUUAACCGAAUAGGGGAGC
rnacentral:rRNA from 2 species